UACGUAGGGUGCGAGCGUUGUCCGGAAUUAUUGGGCGUAAAGAGCUCGUAGGCGGUCUGUCGCGUCGGUCGUGAAAACUUGGGGCUUAACCCUGAGCUUGCGGUCGAUACGGGCAUGACUGGAGUUCGGUAGGGGAGACUGGAAUUCCUGGUGUAGCGGUGAAAUGCGCAGAUAUCAGGAGGAACACCGGUGGCGAAGGCGGGUCUCUGGGCCGAUACUGACGCUGAGGAGCGAAGGCGUGGGGAGCGAACAGG
rnacentral:rRNA from 1 species